CUGCUCUCACCGCGUCGAUGGUCAUUCCAGAGGUUGCCGAGGCUGCCGGAUCCGGUGUCUCGCCCUCCUUGAAGAACUUCUUGCUGAGUAUUGCGGCAGGUGGAGUGGUGGUGGUGGCGAUAUUGGGGGCGGUCAUCGGCGUCGCCAACUUUGACCCGGUGAAGCGAAGCUGAGCGCAAAUGUGAAGUAAAAAGGGGGAAAAAAAAAGAAGUAAAUUGUAAUUUUUGUGUUUUACGUUUAUUUAAUCGUUGUGUUUGUGGUCAUGCUAAAUUGCUAAUGUAUGGAUUUUUUAGCUGUAAACUUUUUCCAUUCAACUCUAAAUUUCUCCAUCUCUCUUCAUUUAUGCCCAAAUGAAUCUCUAUUCAAUCACAACAUUUUCAAUUAUGAAUUUGAUAUUGAUGUUUAAAUAAAAUAAAUAAAUAAAAAGGAAAGUAAUUUUUUUUUCCGUAUGGUGAAGGAAUAGUUUUAACUUUGUGUUGUGCAAUUUAAGUAUUCCUCCCUCUUAAUAGGUGAGACUCAAAGGAUAAAUUUAAAAUUACUACACACAAGGAAGAUUUUGAGAUAAAUUUGUUAAAGUACAACACUUAAAAGUUAAGUGAUUCAAAUCUUUCACCUUUGGCCAACCUUCUCAACAACUUUCAAGUGCACCUUCAUCAAAAGGUUAUCUAAUGUUAGUAAAACCAAAUAAACAUCACAAUAACUGAACUUAUAAUUUAAUAUUAAUAUUUAAAUUAAACGUUUCGGUAAUUGUGGUAUCAUUGACAUAAACUCAAAUAUAAAUUUCAAAACGGCAAUUGUGAGAACUCUGGAUUGAGAGAAUAAGGACUUAUUACAAACAUUUUCUUUUUUAUCAUCAAUCAAUUAUUACAAAGAGGUCAUUAAACAACUUAUUGCAUUUCCAAGUAACCAAUCAGAACCAUUUCGAGCAAGAUCGUUGUAGAGACACAACUACAACUUAGCUAGUUCAUCACUGGCCAACUUAUUCAACAUAUGUCAUUAUUUUCUUUUUCUUUUCUUUUGUGCACACCACAGGCAUUAUGUUGCACGAUCACCCCGAGAUCUGAUUCACUUUUGUAGACCACCACAUAAUAGGGAACAAUGAGAAAUUCAUAAUCUAUAGUGCCUGUACACGUUCGACUUCCAUUCAAAUUUCAAUAUUGACCGAGAAGGACCAAGAAAAACUAUUCCCACGGACACUCCAAAAGGGGCUAGUUGUGAAAGAUGAAAGCUUUAUAGUUCACUUCUGACAAUUUCCAAAUAAAGCAACGAACAAACUUGGUAAGAAAAGAACAUCAAGGGUGGAGACAUAGCCAUAUAAAGAAAUAUGUUUGUGACAACCUCUACUAGAAAGAGGAAAGUGUUUCCCAACCUUCCAAAAUGUAGAAAAUUCACAGCGGAUGUUGUCAUCUUCCGACACAAAAAUUGGUAUACAAAACAACUGAUUUGCUUUAUGGAUGACUGGAACAUAUCAACAGUCAAAGUAUGAAUAUUCCUUCAUUCGAAAGAGGGAAAAAAACUAGUACCCAUUAUCAAAUUUUCAAACAGAGACAUUUGAAAUAUGUUGACAACCUCUACUUGAAAAAAUGGAGGGCAGUUCCAGAUCUUCAAGAUGAAUAGAGGAUUGCCCAAUUCAUAUUGUCAUCUUCCGACACAAAUUUGGUAUAGAAAUAUCCUAUUUGCUUUAUAGAUGACAGAAAAAUAUUGCCUCGUCAUUGAAAAAGAGAAUAACCUAUCUAAUCAAAUGAGAAAUAUAACAAUGUUUGUUAUCAAUCACCUGUACACUAUUAGUUUUCAAACAAGGAUGAAGAAAUUUGUAUCCUCCUUGUGCUACAAAAUGAAAGCAAAACAGCUCCACAAAGACUAAUCGUAUGGAGGAACUUCAUUUCGUCAUCCUCAGACACAGAUUGAUAUAAGAUAACCAACCUGCUGUAAAGAUGACAAAUAUUGAAGCAAAAAUGAAUCACCAUAAGGGAACAAUCCCCCUAUAAUACUCCAUAUUAAUCUCAAAUCCUCUUGCUAACAAGAACAGAACAACCAUUGAAGCAAAAUAUAUAACAGAAUAUUCAAUCAAUGAAAAUAAAUCACUACUCCAUCAAACAGAUAGACAAAUAAACCAAUCCGGUCGAUUUACCCACCCAACUCCAAUGAGCAUGUGAAAAACUCAUGGAAUCAAACUUUAUAGAAACUGUAAUUUGACGACUUAGCUACAUCAGAGCAAACCAAAGACGAAGAAUUAGCGUCUACUGAUCACUGUGAUAACUCAAAAUCACGAAAUUAAAGAAGAAACAAACAACUGAACUGUGAAUAAAGAUUAAGAACUAGAGAACAGUUGGAGAAAUGAGAGUAUCGUUCAUCAUGAAGUUGGUGGAAGGAAUGUUCUUGAAUUUGUGAAACCCUAAUUUGGGUGCCGUAGGGUUUCUUCGGCGAAAAUUGGGAUCUUAUAGGAAUUAGAAAACAACGUCUGAUGCUAUUUUUAGGGUUUUCAUUCUUUUUUAAUAUUAUUAGAAAAAAACCCAAUUC
rnacentral:lncRNA from 1 species